rnacentral:rRNA from 1 species
ACCAAACUUACGGCAGCUAUAAUGCAGUCGAGCGAAUGGAUUAAGAGCUUGCUCUUAUGAAGUUAGCGGCGGACGGGUGAGUAACACGUGGGUAACCUGCCCAUAAGACUGGGAUAACUCCGGGAAACCGGGGCUAAUACCGGAUAACAUUUUGAACCGCAUGGUUCGAAAUUGAAAGGCGGCUUCGGCUGUCACUUAUGGAUGGACCCGCGUCGCAUUAGCUAGUUGGUGAGGUAACGGCUCACCAAGGCAACGAUGCGUAGCCGACCUGAGAGGGUGAUCGGCCACACUGGGACUGAGACACGGCCCAGACUCCUACGGGAGGCAGCAGUAGGGAAUCUUCCGCAAUGGACGAAAGUCUGACGGAGCAACGCCGCGUGAGUGAUGAAGGCUUUCGGGUCGUAAAACUCUGUUGUUAGGGAAGAACAAGUGCUAGUUGAAUAAGCUGGCACCUUGACGGUACCUAACCAGAAAGCCACGGCUAACUACGUGCCAGCAGCCGCGGUAAUACGUAGGUGGCAAGCGUUAUCCGGAAUUAUUGGGCGUAAAGCGCGCGCAGGUGGUUUCUUAAGUCUGAUGUGAAAGCCCACGGCUCAACCGUGGAGGGUCAUUGGAAACUGGGAGACUUGAGUGCAGAAGAGGAAAGUGGAAUUCCAUGUGUAGCGGUGAAAUGCGUAGAGAUAUGGGACGAACACCAGUGGCGAAUGCGACUUUC